AUACGUACUAUUUGGUUAUCGAAAACGAUUCUGAAUUUGAACAGCGCGGCUAAUCGCCAUCGCCAUCGCGGCAUUGACCGUGCGUGAUCGUCUUUUUGACAAAGCGAUCGAAGUUAAUUACGAAUGGGAAAAAAUCGACACGUGCCAAUGUUGCCCUUCUAUCGAAACGAAACUCGCGUUGAUUAUUGUGAAAUCGAUUGAAUAACAUAAAAACCUGGAGGCCCGCUUGGAGAGCGCUGGGUAUCUCUCGGGAACUUUACUUUUUCCCGUACCGUAACAUUAGCCCAGAUAAGUCAAUGAAUGGCCCGGAAUAAAUACAUUGUAAGUUCCUAAUGCAAAUGAAUAAUUUAUAACUGUAAAUAGAGUCAUAUUUCGUAUGGAAGACACGUAGGCGUAACAUAUUAUUUCAUAACUCGUAUUACGAGU